rnacentral:rRNA from 1 species
UACAGAGGUGGCAAGCGUUGUUCGGAAUUACUGGGCGUAAAGGGCGCGUAGGCGGUCUUUUAAGUUCCGUGUGAAAUCCCUCGGCUCAACUGGGGAACUGCACGGGAAACUGGAAGGCUUGAGUUCGGGAGAGGGAAGCGGAAUUCCACGUGUAGCAGUGAAAUGCGUAGAGAUGUGGAGGAACACCGAUGGCGAAGGCAGCCCCCUGGGCUAACACUGACGCUCAGGCACGAAAGCGUGGGGAGCAAACAGG